rfam:Daucus carota subsp. sativus cultivar DH1 chromosome 6, whole genome shotgun sequence.
GAGCCAGUGAGGAUUAUUGUUGAAAAGUUGGAAUUACCGACUGAUAAUCAUUGAUGUGAAAUCGACUGUCUGAGGCUUUUU